rnacentral:rRNA from 1 species
AUGAUUGAAUGAGAAAAUAACUGUCUUAAUUUAAAUUUUUUAGAAUUUUAUUUUUAAGUAAAAAAGCUUAAAUAAAAUUAAAAGACGAGAAGACCCUAUAGAGUUUAAUAUUUAUGAAAUUUAAUUUAUAAUAGUUUUAAAAAUUUAUUUAUUAUAAAUAUUUUGUUGGGGUGACAGAAAAAUUUAAUUAACUUUUUUUUAUUUAAAACAUUAAUAAAUGAAUAUUUGAUCCAAAUUUAUUGAUUAAAAGAUAAAAUUACCUUAGGGAUAACAGCGUAAUUUUUUUUGAGAGUUCUUAUCGAAAAAAAAGAUUGCGACCUCGAUGUUGGAUUAAAGUUAAGUUUUGGUGUAGAAGCUAAAAUUUUAGGUCUGUUCGACCUUUAAAACUUUACAUGAUCUGAGUUUAAACCGGUGUGAGCCAGGUUGGUUUCUAUCUUUAAUAAGUUAAAAUAUUUUAGUACGAAAGGACCAAAUAUUUAUUAAAAUAAUUGUUUA